rnacentral:misc_RNA from 1 species
CGCGUCUCACGCGCCCCUCGCACCCGUCGCGCCGCCUUCCCUGGCGGUGCGCACAACGCGCGCGGUCGUCGCGGAAUCCGAUGACGCGAGUCAAGUGCCUGUGCGCUCUGUGGGCAGGCCGCGAGCCCACAGUGAUGAUCAGGAACCAAAACCAAAACAGCCCGAGGCGCCACCGACACUACCUCUCACCGUCGAUAAGCCAUCUUGCGUAUGCAGCUAUGAGAGUAAUACCCGCGCAGAGGACGCGGACGACUAUCGGAAUGAGUGCGAGAACUGCCACUCUACUAAUAAUAACUCUGGGUAUGUUCUGUUUUUUUGUAGUUACGGAUACUUCAUAUAUAAGGAACCUCUACCCAAACUAAAAUAAGCUUUAAAAUGUAUUUUUAAAUGUUUUACAUUUUCAAAUUGAAAUAGUGCUGAAACAUCUUAGCGAUUAAUAAUGUAAUUAAAGAUUUAAAUAAUUUACCGAGGGAGUAGCCCGUCUAGGGAAGUACCACAACCUAAGAGAAAAUCACAGCUGAUUAACAUUGCUUCAACGUAGUUUAAUGGUUCUUUGGUAAGUCAGGUGGCCUGAGUUCCUGGAGAGUUUUUUCUACUCCUGAUAUGUUUCUGGCGUUGCAGACGUCUAUAAGUUACGGUAGCUGCUUACCAUCAGGCAAAUAAGUCCAUUGUUUACCGAGCUAAAAAUAUUUGUUUUAAAUAUUUCUUGUGAUAUAGCCGUAUAUUAUUUAAAUUAUUAUCACUCAAACCAAAUUUGCUUCUGUAUUUUAUGAAUAAGUAGUCGCGAGUUAAAUUCAGUUAUAACAAAAAGAAAUCUAAAAUUAAUAAUAAUAAA